CCCUGGGUGGCUCAGUCGCUUAAGCGUCCGACUUCGGCUCAGGUCAUGAUCUCACGGUUCGUGGGUUCGAGCCCCGCCUCAGGCU
rnacentral:tRNA from 1 species